GGGUUGUUAGCUCAGUUGGUAGAGCAGCGGACUCUUAAUCCGUCGGUCGAGAGUUCAAGUCUCUCACAGCCCACCA
rnacentral:tRNA from 1 species